rnacentral:rRNA from 1 species
UACAUGGGGUGCAAACGUUGCUCGGAAUUAUUGGGCGUAAAGCGCGCGUAGGCGGCUACUUAAGUCGGAUGUGAAAGCCCUCGGCUUAACUGAGGAAGUGCACCCGAAACUGAGUAGCUAGAGUACGAAAGAGGGUCGCGGAAUUCCCGGUGUAGAGGUGAAAUUCGUAGAUAUCGGGAGGAACACCGGUGGCGAAGGCGGCGACCUGGGUCGAGACUGACGCUGAGGCGCGAAAGCGUGGGGAGCAAACAGG